rnacentral:rRNA from 1 species
ACCAGACUCCUACGGGAGGCAGCAGUGGGGAAUAUUGGGCAAUGGGCGAAAGCCUGACCCAGCAACGCCGCGUGAAGGAAGAAGGCCUUCGGGUUGUAAACUUCUUUUGACAGGGAAGAGCAGAAGACGGUACCUGUCGAAUAAGCCACGGCUAACUACGUGCCAGCAGCCGCGGUAAUACGUAGGUGGCAAGCGUUGUCCGGAUUUACUGGGUGUAAAGGGCGUGUAGCCGGGCUGACAAGUCAGAUGUGAAAUCCGGGGGCUCAACCCCCGAACUGCAUUUGAAACUGUUGGUCUUGAGUAUCGGAGAGGCAGGCGGAAUUCCUAGUGUAGCGGUGAAAUGCGUAGAUAUUAGGAGGAACACCAGUGGCGAAGGCGGCCUGCUGGACGACAACUGACGGUGAGGCGCGAAAGCGUGGGGAGCAAACAGGAUUAGAUACCCCCGUA